AGUGGGAUAGCUGGGUCCUAUAGUGAUUCAAAUCCUAGUUUUCUGAGGAAUCUCCAUCCUGCUUUCCAGAGUGGUUGCACUAAUUUGCAGUCCCAUCAGCAAU
rnacentral:pre_miRNA from 1 species